AUACGGAGGGUGCAAGCGUUAUUCGGAAUCACUGGGCGUAAAGGGUGCGUAGGCGGUUUGAUAAGUCUGAUGUGAAAUCCUAUGGCUCAACCAUAGAACUGCAUUGGAAACUGUCAGACUAGAAUACUGAAGGGGCAGAUGGAAUUAGUGGUGUAGGGGUAAAAUCCGUAGAUAUCACUAGGAAUACCGAAAGCGAAAGCGAUCUGCUGGGAAGUUAUUGACGCUGAGGCACGAAAGCGUGCGGAGCAAACGGGAUUAGAAACCCUAGUAGUCC
rnacentral:rRNA from 1 species